UUCCAUACCUUGUAAUUGGAUUGAUUAAGCACCUCAAUUCCAAGGCCGACAACUCUUCCACUAGAAUCCAUUUUUGGAACGCCAACGAACUUCUUCACCAAGAGUGACUUGACAAGAUUCCAAACUAACACCCUUGUAGCUCUGAUACCAUGUGAAGAAAAAACAACUUCCCAAAUUCCGGAAAUUGCUUUCUUAGAGUAGUGGAUUAUGCUU
rnacentral:lncRNA from 1 species